rnacentral:lncRNA from 1 species
CUGGAUAGUCGUCAUAGUUGAGAUGCCAGGAGUACAUAAAUAAGUUAGGCGUGCAAUCUUUACAACACCAAUAUGCUGUCAACAAGAAGGCAGUUAAUGUCUCAGUAAGUCACAAACCUUUGCAGCGCAGUAGGAAGGACCGCCAAUAAACAAGAAAGGUAGUCAAGAGGAGUGCAUUCCCCAAUUUGAAAGUCAUUCACGGACCAGAGGACAUUUUAUUUCAAGAAUUUUCUCCACCUCCAAAAUAAAAUAAAAAUGCAUCAAAUUUUAUUUUUAUGUGAGAAAAAAAAAAAUAGAAUACAGAAAACAAAAAUGUCAGUAAGAUAUUUCUCAAAUCACUGCUCCCCCCUCCCCCCCCAAAAAAAAAACAAAUAAAACAAAUAAAAACCAACUCCAUUGAGAAAAAGAAGUACCAGAAAGUGAUGAAGGAGGUGGAAUAUGUGGCUGC